CUACGGGACGCACCAGUGGGGAAUUUUGCGCAAUGGGCGUAAGCCUGACGCAGCAAUACCGCGUGAGUGAAGAAGGCCUUUGGGUCGUAAAGCUCUUUUCUGAAGGAAGAUAGUGACGGUACUUCAGGAAUAAGCACCGGCUAACUCCGUGCCAGCAGCCGCGGUAAUACGGAGGGUGCAAGCGUUGUUCGGAUUUACUGGGCGUAAAGGGCACGUAGGCGGCACAGCAAGUUAAGGGUGAAAUCCCGGGGCUCAACCUCGGAACUGCUCUUAAAACUGCUGAGCUAGAGAUAGUCAGAGGCGGGUGGAAUUCCUGGUGUAGAGGUGAAAUUCGUAGAUAUCAGGAGGAACACCGGUGGCGAAGGCGACCCGCUGGGGCUAUUCUGACGCUAAGGUGCGAAAGCGUGGGGAGCGAACGGGAUUAGAUACCCCCGUAGUC
rnacentral:rRNA from 1 species